rnacentral:lncRNA from 1 species
CAAAAUCUGAAAUAUAUAAUAUUUUAUAAUAUUUUCAAAUACUAUACAUACAUAGUAUAGAACAUUGUAUAAAAUAGUAUACAAAUGUUUGUUCUAUUUAUGUUAGUUGAGAAUCAUAUGUAAAAUAGUAGAAGAAGAAAUAAAAGUACUUGUUGAUGAAAAAGACGUUCUUGAACAUGGCCCUAACAUUGUCAAACAUUUGAAUGAAACUAAUUUUAUAUUACGAGCAUUCAUACAAAAUGGCAUAGCAGAGAAAUAUCAAAUUUGAAGACAUGACAUAUAAACCCUAAACCCUAAACUCUAGUUUGAAAAGAAAAUUACUAAACCCUAAACCCUAAUCACUAAACCAUAAACCCAAAUAUAAACCUUAAACUCUAAUCACUAAACCCUAAACCCAGAUAUAGACCCUAAACACUAAUCACUAAAUCCUAAAUCCUAAUUACUAAAUCUUAAAUCCAAAUAUAAACCCUAAACCCUAAUCACUAAACCUAAACCCAAAUAUAAACCCUAAACACUAAUCACUAAACCUUAAAUACUAAUCGCUAAACUCUAAACCUCAAUAUAAACCCUAAACCCUAAUCACUAAACCUUAAACCCAAAUAUAAACCCUAAACCCUAAUCACUAAACCCUAAACCCAAAUAUAAACCCUAAACCCUAAUCACUAAACCCUAAACCCAAAUAUAAACCCUAAAACCUAAACUCUACUCACCCACUUAAAUACUAAAACCUUAGACAAACCCCUAGUUACUAAAUCUAAACCCAAAUAACUAAAGUAUAAACCCAAAAAAAAUCUAUAUAAUAUGUUGUCAAUUUUCUCAACGUAAACGACAUAGUAUGGAACCGCUAUAAAUAGUAUAGUUGUACUGGUCCACUCCAUUUACAUUUUCCAAAUGACCAAGUUUAAGAACGAAAUUACUAAACCCUAAACACUAAUUACUAAAUCCUAAACCCAAAUAUAAACCCAAAACCCUAAACUGUAAACCA